rnacentral:rRNA from 1 species
CCUACGGGUGGCAGCAGUGAGGAAUAUUGGUCAAUGGGCGAGAGCCUGAACCAGCCAAGUCGCGUGAGGGAAGACGGUCCUACGGAUUGUAAACCUCUUUUGUCAGGGAGCAAGGAGCGCCACGAGUGGCUCGUCGAGAGUACCUUAAGAAAAAGCAUCGGCUAACUCCGUGCCAGCAGCCGCGGUAAUACGGAGGAUGCGAGCGUUAUUCGGAUUUAUUGGGUUUAAAGGGUGCGCAGGCGGAAUCGGCAAGUCAGCGGUAAAAUUUCGGGGCGCAACCUCGCCGAGCCGUUGAAACUGGUAUUCUAGAGUGGGCGAGAAGUAGGCGGAAUGCGUGGUGUAGCGGUGAAAUGCAUAGAUAUCACGAAGAACUCCGAUUGCGAAGGCAGCAUACCGGCGCCCAACUGACGCUCAUGCACGAAAGCGUGGGUAUCGAACAGGAUUAGAUACCCGAGUAGUC